UACGGGGGGGGCAAGCGUUGUUCGGAAUUACUGGGCGUAAAGGCUCGUAGGCGGCCAACUAAGUCAUACGUGAAAUCCCUCGGCUUAACCGGGGAACUGCAUCUGAUACUGGAUGGCUUGAGUUCGGGAGAGGGAUGCGGAAUUCCAGGUGUAGCGGUGAAAUGCGUAGAUAUCUGGAGGAACACCGGUGGCGAAGGCGGCAUCCUGGACCGACACUGACGCUGAGGAGCGAAAGCCAGGGGAGCAAAGCGGG
rnacentral:rRNA from 1 species